rnacentral:lncRNA from 1 species
CUUGAUCUGGAUCCCCAACCCCUAGACCUUGAUCUGGAUCCCCAACCCCUAGAUCUUGACCUGGAUCCCCAACACCUAGACCUUGACCUGGAUCCCCAACCCCUAGACCUUGACCUGGAUCCCCAACCCCUGGACCUUGGCCUGGACACCCGACUCCUGGACCUUGCCCUGGAUCCCCGACCCCUAGACCUUGGCCUGGAUCCCCGACCCCUAGACCUUGGCCUGGAUCCCCGACCCCUAGACCUUGGCCUGGAUCCCCUAGACCUUGGCCUGGACCCCUGACCCCUAGACCCUGGAUAUGACUACUCAUGGCUUAACAUAGGCCACUCUAACCUCACUCCUCUGUCCUCAACUCGGAUAUGUAAUGUUAUCUCUGGACUUGCACAUUUACUGUAGUACUAGCUACAGGUUAUAGCUAGAUCAACACAUUUAGCAGCUACAGGUUAUAGCUAGAUCAACACAUUUAGCAGCUACAGGUUAUAGCUAGAUCAACACAUUUAGCAGCUACAGGUUACAGCUAGAUCAACACAUUUAGCAGCUACAGGUUUCAGCUAGAUCAACACAUUUAGCAGCUACAGGUUACUGCUAGAUCAACACAUUUAGCAGCUACAGGUUAUAGUUAGAUCAACACAUUUAGCAGCUACAGGUUAUAGCUAGAUCAACACAUUUAGCAGCUACAGGUUACAGCUAGAUCAACACAUUUAGCAGCUACAGGUUAUAGCUAGAUCAACACAUUUAGCAGCUACAGGUUUCAGCUAGAUCAACACAUUUAGCAGCUACAGGUUAUAGCUAGCACUACUACUACCAACCUUGAGUUGUGGUUUGCUUUUGGACAAAAAAACACCACAAUCUGAAGUCUUGUUUUAAUGAAAUUUCUCUGAUUAACUUUAGGUCAAUUUAACUGACUUUUAAAAACUAUUUUUUGAAACCUGUGUUCUAAACAUGAAGUAAUGUCAUUACAUUUAGCUGAUCUUAGCCUAUUGUACAGCUCUGUUUUAAUGUGUUAUAACAUCACGUCAGUGUUAGUAUCCAUGUCAACAUCGGGACAUUCAACCUCCUGUCCAAUGAGAACUGUCGUGACAUGAUGAUUAUGGUUCAGAGUUCUUCAGUUUGUGUUGCAUUAUGGAAGAAAACAUGAGGUACAUGCGGAGAGGAUUGAAAACCUAUGGGUUCUCUUUUGGUACUUGUCUCUCAGUUGUAAAGUGUCAUUUAUUGAUUGAAUGUGUUGGAGACUGAAUUGUAUUGUCAUUGACUCACAUCAGCCGGGA